rnacentral:lncRNA from 1 species
AGACCAACACUCUUCCUCCUCCUCUGCCUACUCAAUGUGAAGACAAUGAGGAUGAACACCUUUAUGAUGCUCCACUUCCACUUAUUGAAUAGUGCUACACAUGAAACUUGUAACCAGUUACUACAGGCGAAAGCAAAUCCAUGUCUUCAGGCUGGUGUCAUCAGGGAGAGAAGCUUUGGUUUCCACAUAAGGAUAUAAGAUCAUUGAUGUAAAACAAGACAUGUAACCUCUCAAAUUGAGAGAAUGGAUUGGAGAGAUAUUGUUGACCAUGUUUUCCCCUGUAUCUCACCUUCCCCUCUCCAAGACUUCCUUGUCAGUUACCCAUAUUGAUAUCAGUUUAUCCACAUCCAUGCUUUCAAGUUUAAACAAAGAAACUAGGCAAAGGCAGCUAUGUAUUCGCUAGGAUUAGGGAGGAGAAGAUAAUGAACCACUGGAUAGUGAGAAGAAAGAGAGGUGGAGAAAGUGAGAGACCCCAGUAACAGAGGACAGGGACACAUUGCUAAGGAUAGGGACACAUUCACUGUAAUAUAGAAGGCCAUGCUUAUAUGUAAAAUAUGCAGUAAUUGUAUAUAUAUGUACAAAAGUGAUGACACACAUAUGCACAUAAACAAAACACAAUUACUGUCUAUGUUUCUUUAUUUGUGACCUAAUGUUUUAUGUUGUUUGUAACUGAAAAAAAA